rnacentral:rRNA from 1 species
AUUCUCGCGUUGAUUAAGUCCCUGCCCUUUGUACACACCGCCCGUCGCUACUACCGAUUGGAUGGUUUAGUGAGGUCCUCGGAUCGGCCCCGGCGGGGUCGGCCACGGCCCUGCCGGAGCGUCGAGAAGACGGUCGAACUUGACUAUCUAGAGGAAGUAAAAGUC